rnacentral:rRNA from 1 species
AUUGAACGCUGGCGGCAGGCCUAACACAUGCAAGUCGAGCGGAUGAAGGGAGCUUGCUCCUGGAUGCAGCGGCGGACGGGUGAGUAAUGCCUAGGAAUCUGCCUGAUAUUGGGGGAUAAGGUCCGGAAACGGGCGCUAAUACCGCAUACGUCCUGAGGGAGAAAGUGGGGGAUCUUCCGACCUCACGCUAUCAGAUGAGCCUAGGUUGGAAUAGCUAGUUGGUGGGGUAACGGCCUACCAAGGCGGCGAUCCGUAACUGGUCUGAGAGGAUGAUCAGUCACACUGGAAGUGAGACACGGUCCAGACUCCUAAGGGAGGAAGCAGUCGGGAAUAUUGGACAAUGGGCGAAAGCCGGAUACAGGCAUGCCGCGUGUGUGCUGAAGGUCCACGGCUGGGUAAGCAAUUUAAGUUGGGAGGAAGUACAGUACGUUUACCCCUUGCGGUAUUGACGGUACCAACAGAAUAAGCUCCGGCUAACUCCGUG